UGAGGAAUAUUGGUCAAUGGGCGCGAGCCUGAACCAGCCAAGCGCGUGAGGGAGGACGGCCCUACGGGUUGUAAACCUCUUUGCCGGGGAGCAACGGGCGUCACGUGUGGCGCCACUGAGAGUACCCGGAGAAAAAGCAUCGGCUAACUCCGUGCC
rnacentral:rRNA from 1 species